GUGAGGAAUAUUGGUCAAUGGGCGGAAGCCUGAACCAGCCAUCCCGCGUGAAGGAAGGCGGCCCUAUGGGUUGUAAACUUCUUUAGUACAUGAAGAACAGGAUCUACGCGUAGGUUUAUGACGGUAAUGUACAAAAAAGCAUCGGCUAACUCCGUGCCAGCAGCCGCGGUAAUACGGAGGAUGCGAGCGUUAUCCGGAUUUAUUGGGUUUAAAGGGAGCGUAGGCGGGGGUUUAAGUCAGCUGUGAAAUGCCGUAGCCCAACCAUGGAACUGCAGUUGAAACUGGACCUCUUGAGAGUACAUAAGGAAGGCGGAAUUCGUGGUGUAGCGGUGAAAUGCAUAGAUAUUAGGAGGAACACCAGUGGCGAAGGCGGCUUACUGGACUGUAACUGACGUUGAGGCUCGAAAGCGUGGGGAGCAAACAGGAUUAGAAACCCCGGUAGUCC
rnacentral:rRNA from 1 species